rnacentral:lncRNA from 1 species
UCGGAUCCCGUCGUUCCCAACCUCCAGCACGCGCACGGGAAAAGAAAGAGGCCCGCCUCGCACACACCAACCGCCUCGCCUCGCCUCGCCUUCUCACCGCUCGUCGCCCUCACCGUCGGUCGCCGCCUGUCGCCGCCUCGGUCGCCCGUCGAAGCACCAUGGAUGCAGCUCCGCGACUCAGCUCAUCCAGACCGCUCGCCGCCUUGGCUGCCCCGCGCUCCGGGACUCAGCUCGCCCGGACCGCUCGCCGCCUCGGCUGCCCCGCGCUCCGGGACUCAGCUCGCCCCGACCGUUCGCUGUCCCCGCCGCUUGCCGACGCACUCGCCGCUGCUCAUGCCCGUCGGUCUUCACCUCGUCGGUCGCACCUCACCCCCCUGUGUUGCAAACGCUGGAAAAAAAGUUUCAACCGUGUAUAGAAAAGCUUCAACCGUGAAGAAAAAAAGCUUCAAUCAAAAAACUUCAACGAGGAAAAAGUUGCAAACGUUGACAGAAAAAUCUUCAACCGUAUAUGGAAAAAGUUUCAAACAUCACCCCGGCUGCAGCAUCUCGCGUGGUCACUCCUCAAAAAAGUUUUAACCGUGCAUAGAAAAGCUUCAACCGUUAAGAAAUAAAGCUUCAACCAAAUAUUUCAACGAGGGAAAAGUUGCAAACGUUGACAGAAAAAGCUUCAACCGUAUAUGAAAAAAGUUUCAACCGUCGUCCCGGCUGCAUCAUCUCGUGUGGUCACCUUCGGUCGUCGCCGUCAGGCGCAGCGGCUGCCGGUGGAGAAGCCGCAGCGUUCACCGACAACGCCUGAGGUUGCAUGGGGGAAGGGGGAGAGUAGGGAAGAAGAAGAAGAAGGAGAAAGGAGAGGGGGGAAGGGAGAGAGGGAGGAAGGAAGACGCGAUGAGCUUUAGAUCCAGAAGAUCGAACGAGACGUUUCCCUAGUUUAUUAGUGGCUGAUACCUGUCCGUUUCUUUAACAGAAUAUAUAGAUGAAGAACAGAGAGCUCACCCGAGAUGGCUGAUGAUCGCCGGAAUUUGGUGGCCCGCGGCUCGGGCUUGAUCUGACGAAGGGACAUGGCGAACGAUGAAUAGGACGUCGCGUCCGAAAGGUUUUCGUUGUCGGGAACGACUGGUUCGUCCUCGCAAUUCUCUGAGAACCCGCUGGAGUUUGCCGGAGUUUCAAGUUGGAUGAGGUCGUCGCUGUUUGCGAGCUCCGACUGCGUAUUCGAGAGGUUCAAGGGUUCAGGGAGUUCCGCACGAGCAAGACACAUCCAGAGGAAUAAGUGGAGCGGGGAGUGGCUCACCAGAGACCGUACUAUCUUCGUUGCCGCGAACGACGAACUCCGUCGAGCAAUUGCUCCCGGAGGAGAGGGAGGAAUAGAGUGGUUUUGCGUCUGGGGACAC